ACUAUGUCUUGCUUGACUAGGUAUGCCUAAAUCCUGUUGGGCUCAGUAAUCUAUUUAGUGAUUCUUCUGCUUGCUUUUAGAACGUUGCUGGUAUACAACCAUCUUCUCCAGUGCUCAGUGUGCCGUGUGGUACAUGAUGUUUUGGGAUUUGGUGCAGAGGAGUAGAUGUGUCUUCCCUCUGUGGCAUGUUCUGCUCUUUGAUCCCAGUUGUCUGUCAGCCAAUGCACAGAAUAUCUUUGCAAGCCAAGAGGAGGAGGAGGAGGGAGCUCUGUGCCCUGUUUGGGUAGUGUCUGUGGUUCUCAGUGGGCUGUGGAGGAUGCAGUGUGCAUUACUCUGUGGAAAAGAUCCUACAGUAUCUUCUCCUUCCCUGCUCCAGGCAGAUGGUAAUUGAGGCAGACUGCUCAGUACAGCAGAGUAGAAGAAAGACAUUUUACCCAACAAUUAAUUUGCAUGACAAGAUGUGGUGCAAAAUAAAAAGCAGCAGAAG
rnacentral:lncRNA from 14 species